rnacentral:misc_RNA from 1 species
GAUGAAGAACGCAGCGAAAUGCGAUAAGUAAUGUGAAUUGCAGAAUUCAGUGAAUCAUCGAAUCUUUGAACGCACAUUGCGCCCGCCAGUAUUCUGGCGGGCAUGCCUGUUCGAGCGUCAUUUCAACCAUCAAGCCCCAGGCUUGUGUUGGGGACCUGCGGCUGCCGCAGGCCCUGAAAACCAGUGGCGGGCUCGCUGUCACACCGGGCGUAGUAGCACAUCUCGCUCAGGGCGUGCGGCGGGCUCCUGCCGUGAAACCCCCCACUGUAACCCCAAAGGUUGACCUCGGAUCAGGUAGGAAUACCCGCUGAACUUAAGCAUAUCAAUAAGCGGAGGA